GAUGAACGCUGGCGGCGUGCUUAACACAUGCAAGUCGAACGGUGAAGCCCAGCUUGCUGGGUGGAUCAGUGGCGAACGGGUGAGUAACACGUGAGCAACCUGCCCCUGACUCUGGGAUAAGCGCUGGAAACGGCGUCUAAUACUGGAUACGAACCGCGACCGCAUGGUCAGUGGAUGGAAAGAUUUUUUGGUUGGGGAUGGGCUCGCGGCCUAUCAGCUUGUUGGCGAGGUAAUGGCUCACCAAGGCGUCGACGGGUAGCCGGCCUGAGAGGGUGACCGGCCACACUGGGACUGAGACACGGCCCAGACUCCUACGGGAGGCAGCAGUGGGGAAUAUUGCACAAUGGGCGGAAGCCUGAUGCAGCAACGCCGCGUGAGGGAUGACGGCCUUCGGGUUGUAAACCUCUUUUAGCAGGGAAGAAGCGAAAGUAACGGUACCUGCAGAAAAAGCGCCGGCUAACUACGUGCCAGCAGCCGCGGUAAAAC
rnacentral:rRNA from 1 species